UAUCCAUAAAUUGGAGAUUUUAGAUUUUAGGGUUUCAUCUUCACCUCAUUAUCCCACCCCCAAAAUAACCAUAAAUUGUAGAUUUAGAUUCUCGGGUUUCAUUUUCACCUCAUUUCAGUUCGUCGUAUUUAAUAUUUAUAUGAUCUUGCACAGCUAGUUUCUUCAAUGACAAUUUCUCCAACUUGGUCGGCGGCUCUGGUGGCCUCAGAUCCUCUUAAACCACCAGCAAAACCUUAAAAUUCCGCCGAAAUCGUUAAGCGGCUACAGCAAGUGAAGGGUUAUUGCAUGUCCUCUUUAAACCCUGGAUCCGGCCGGCGAAGCAACUUUUCGGGCAAGCCGAUCUAACCUUUCGUGUCUUAUUUUUGUGUGAAUCGGCAUCAUUGAAGUACAAUUCAACAGCAUGUACCUCGUUUCAGGACCGACAUUAAUGGGUGAACAUAUGGCCUUUCCGGUGACGUGGUUGAUUGGCGCCGAGGGUCGGAACCGUUGAGCAUGUGGCAGUGGUGGUGACGGGAUUUUGCUUGCGGAAAUAAGAACCAACAGUCAGGGGCAAAAAUGGAACUUCCUUUGCCGCCCUCGCCGCCCAAUGACCGGGUGCCAGACAGUUGCCUGGCACUAUUCCCGGCCAUGGGUUUUGUAUAUGUAGGUUAAUGUAGAAUUUUCCGAAAGCAAAGUCACAAACCAUCUAGCAUAUCCUCAAGCGUAAAACAAACUCCACUAAAAGAGUUACAAUUAAAACAUCAACCCGUUAACCCAGUCAAAUACUUUU
rnacentral:lncRNA from 1 species